GGAAGCGGACAUUUCCGGUUUCAUCGCGAUCGCAUAUGCAAAGCCAAAACAGAGAAAUUGUCCUAUUUGAGAAAUGCCAUAAAUGAAUCCAUCUGUGUUUUACGCAAAACUGAAAACGGGACUUCAAACCAGGGUCCCACCUGAGGAGAGUGAAGACAGCUGUCUCAGUGACAGUGGGGACAGCGAUGAUGAGUGAUGAAAGCAGCAGAGAAAGCAGUAAUGAGACUGACAACAGGAGCAGUGCUGAUGAUGAUACAGAUGGAGACGAACUUCCUAGCACCAGUGCUACUGCUGCGAGAGAGAAAUCAGCUGCUACAUCAAAAACAACGGCAACGCUGCAAACUCCCAAAUUGCAAGGGCCAGACAGUGAUCAAAUGUUCAAAGUGCAAUGUUCACCUGUGCCUAAACAAAAAUAACAACUGCUUCCGUGAGUUUCAUGAGUGAGACAUGAGUGCAAAGGCAACUCAACUGUUUGUUGACAGACACACGCACGCACACACACUGUUCACUAACUCACUCACUCACUCACUCACUGUUCAAAGUGCAGUGUUCAAAGUGCAAUGUUGAUGAAUGAGACUGCAAAGACAGCUCAGCUGUUUGUUGUGUUACACUUACUUACACACACACUCACUCACUCACUCACUCACUUGCACACACGCACUCACACUGUUCAAAGUGCAAUUUUGAUGAAUGAGACUGCAAAG